rnacentral:rRNA from 1 species
UACGUAGGUGGAAAGCGUUGUCCGGAUUUAUUGGGGUUAAAGGGUGCGUAGGCGGUCCAUUAAGUCAGUUGUGAAAUACGGCAGCUUAACUGUCGAGGUGCAAUUGAUACUGGUGGACUUGAGUACUGAUGAGGUAGGCGGAAUGGACGGUGUAGCGGUGAAAUGCUUAGAGAUCGUCCAGAACACCGAUAGCGAAGGCAGCUUACUAAAGAGUAACUGACGCUGAGGCACGAAAGUGUGGGGAUCAAACAGG